rnacentral:RNase_P_RNA from 3 species
UGGGGUAAGCGGGCGAUUACUCUAUUUUUAAGUAUUUUUACUUAAAAUGGAGAGGAAAGUCCGGACUUCACAAAAAACGAUAGUGGGUAACGCCCACCGGGCCGUUUCGGCGGCUUAGGGAUUAAAGUGCCACAGAGACAAUACUAAUUCCGCAAUUUUAACGGAAUCAAAGGUGAAAAGUGGUCGGAUGCCUUUCGGGGCUACCGACUUCGGCCUCCGGUGACGGAGAUGCCGUGGUAAACCCUAUCGGAAGCAAGAGCAAACUGGUCGUUGCCGUUUAGACGGAAGCGUCCAAGACAAGUAGCUCGCUUGAGCUCCUUAGUAAUAAGGGGCCCAGAUAAAUGAUCGCUAGAACAGAAUCCGGCUUACGGCUGUCCCAAUAAU